AAGGAAGUGAGAAAUGACAGGGCUGCAAGCUUUGUAUGUGGGAGCCUGGCAGGGCGGGGGAGCAGCCAGGAGAGCCAAGUGGAUUCUCAGAAAAGGGGUGUGGGGGGGAAGCCAUCGAAGAGCUAAAGGUGAUUAGAGGGGGAUAUUGAUUCCUUAUUCUGCCAGAGAUUUAAGCAGGCAUGCAAGGAAUCUGCACCAUGGUUGGCAAAAGGGGACCCGUUGCCUCCUGUAACCAGACACUCGGGCUUUCCAGGAGCCCAGGGAGAGAGCCGAGAAGAAAGGGGGCAGUGUGGUCUAGGAAAAUCCAACUUGUCGCUGAUUUGUGCCCGAUGCUCGCUGUCCGUCAGCAGCCUCCCUUACAAUCUUUUUUUCUCUCUCUCCCUUUUUUUCCCUUGCCUUCUCCUUCUUCACUGAAGCCUAGGGGAGCCAGUAAAGAUUAAAUGUGCUUUCUCAAAGGCAGCCACUUCAUGCUGCUAUGUCGAAAGGGCCAUUAUUAUUAUUAUUUUUUAAUAGUAAAAGAAAAAGGGAGAGUGGUUGAGACAGAGAGAGAGCAGCUAGGUGUGAUGAUGACGGACUAGCUUUUCUGAGAGGAAAAGGAAAAGGGAAGGGAGAGAAAAAGGAGAGACCCUGAGCUGAACGGAGGAUUGUGCCUGAGAAGAACCUUCAGAGGUGAGAAAAAAAAGUUGUCUCGAAGGUGGGGGGGUGCUAAACAGAACCUGUAUAGAGGGAAAAGAGACAUAAUUUAGCUGUCUUGCUAACACGAUUCUAUUUUUAAGGGGGGGGAAGGGGAGAGUCUGGUGCGCUGUUUUUAGUUGCAUAUGGAAAUAUAUUAAAAAUAUUUAGCAUUUUUGCCAAGUGCUUGAGGCCCUCUGGAGUGUCUCCCUUGCUUUGUCAUUCUCUCUGACUAGCCAGCCAUCUACCUUGCUCAGGCCUGGAAUAAAAGAAGCAGAAAAAAAAAAAAAAAAGAAAGAAAAGAAAAGAAAGAAAGGAAAAGACAAAAAAGAAGGGAGAAGAAAAGAAUUGAAAAAGGGUCAUCUUCCCAUCCACUUCCCCUCCCUUUCGGUUCGUUUUUGGAGGUGGCACAGGAAGGCUCAGCUUCCAGCCAGAUGGGGAAAAGCCGCUGUCUAUCAGGUACAGAACCAGUAGCUGUCUGCGAAGAUGGAGGGGAAUUAUGCUUCGGAUUCCUCUGAAAUAUUGGCCAAAGGCUUCAAAGGAUCCGCAGCGGGAGGUGCAGGGGGAACGUAUCUCCCCAGCCGGCACCCACCCCUUCCCACUCCGUGUCUACCAAAUGACAGCCUGGUGCUCGCUCUUGGUGAUUUGGCCUUGACUUCAGCCAAGCAGCUGAUGCAGAGGAGCAACCCCCCGCCCCCCGUUUGCAGGACUGGCAAAGUGCACGCUACAGAAAGAAGGACGAAAUUUUUUAAAAAGCAGCUCUUGGGGAGGUUUCUCCCUCUUUUUUUUUUUAAUUUUAAGUGAAUAUUUUCCAAAUUUGAUCAGUCCCAGCCCCUCCCUCCACUCCCACCCAACUGCCUUCUUUUCUCUCGUCAAAGCAUAAACUACAGAGUUACAGUCUCUAGAUUUGGUGUAUCGCUUCCUGCCCCCGCCUCCCCUCCCCACCCCCGUUCUCCGUCCUCUAUUGAAACACCUCGCCCAGCCUAGCGCACUGCGAGCUCACAUUCCCCCCUCGCUCCGGAUGGUGCGACAGGAGGCUGUGCUGCCCGGCUCGCUUCGAAUGGUUGUGUUGAUGUUCCUUUCAGCUGGUCCUAUAGCCCCCCUCCUCAGGAAUGUCUCCCCAGUGAAAGGACAAAGACUGCAGAGACUGCUCUGUUGAUGGACACUCAAGCCAACUAUGAAGUUGAAACAAAGAAAAUGAUCACCUGAAGACACCUGUCCUGCUAAGCAACACACCCAAAUGGUGUACUUUCAGCCAAUAGAACUCUCAGAACAAGAGACAGUCUUUUCAAGAAACAGAAAAACUCAGUAAUGCCAUCUAGAUUUUUAAUGAGCCAAAAACUUUCCCUUCCUCAUGUGUACUCCUCUGUUUGUAUUUAAAUUCAUGUGACAUUUAUUUUCAUUUCCUAGCAUGGAUAUGCUUAUUAACGCUCUAGUUUUAAAAUCCAAAAUGGUGCAAAUGUGUUAAUAUUUUAAGCCACAAAAUUAAUGAUAUAAAGAGAAUGAUUUUUAACCACACACAGAGUUUGAUGUUAAGAGUGACCUAAAGAAUAAAAGUUUCUUUUAAAACAGCAAAGUAGUCAGAGGCGAUUCAGAGGAUAAAAUAAUGUAGAAACUCAUACUGCAGCCUAGAAAUACCACGUUAUUCCACCUGACACCAACAAAUCAACCAUUGUUUUUAUAAAGCAAGCUAGGUUCCAGGAGAUAAGGUGGCUGCUGCCAAAGAGCUUAAAUCUAGUUAGACAAAGUUACGUAAACUUUUGAAAAGGUACGUAAUAGAUAGGGCCAGUAGAAGACAAGAGCAAAACAAAACAAAGCAAAAAUGAGCUCAGAGGAGGUUGCCGGAAGGUGGGCAAAACUGGCUUGUUUAGGGAAGAAACUUCCUAAUAGAGGAAAAUAUAAGAUGAAUCUUGACAGAUCUCAAAGAUUUAGAUAAAAUGGAAAGGAAGGGGCACAUGGAAUCCUUUAGGUGGAUGUGAUAUUGUGAGCAAAGCCAGGGAGGAGAAAAUGAAUAGGCACCUCUAGAUGACUUCAUCCUGGUAGUUCAGUAGCUCCCUCUGUAUAUCUGGUAACGACUUUGCACACACAGCAUUCCUCUUCCGCCCCAGGUGAUGCCUAGAAUUAUAAUCACAUUUCCUUGUUAUUAAAGCAAGUGAGGGUGAUCGGUGAUAAUAUGGAAAACUAUAAUUUUUCUGUUAACCUCAUAAUAAUUGGUAUUUAUUGAGUUGUACCCUAUAUGUUAAGCAUUUUACAUAUUAACUCACUUGAGCUUCACAACAACCAUGCAAAAUAGUUAUUAUUAUCCCCAUUUUACAGGCAAGAAAACUGAGGCUUAAGGAACUCGUCAAAGUGCCAUAUGCAGAUAUACAGCAUUCACAUUCAAGAUUGUGAUUGCAAAGCUCAUGACCUAAAGCACUAAGUAACAAUAUUGUAAUCAAUGUCAUAAUUAUUAUUACUUUUUAAAUAUUUGUUGAUAUUUUCUAUAAUAAACAGAUAUUUCAUUUAAUAAUCACCUCAAACUUUUCAGUUUCCUGGAUAAAUUACGCUGGAAUGAUGGAAUGUAUUUUCAUAAUAAAAAUUUUUUUAAAUGGGGACUACAGCUUAUCAGCCUUUUAGACAUUCUUUUUUUGCCAGACCUUGAUAAGAUUGUUCUCUUUGGUCUGCAUGAAAUCUCAAAUUCUUAAGAAUAAAGAAGGGGAAGCUUAAGUCACUGGUUGCAAUGUCUUUUACAGAUGAGAUAAAUCUAUAGCCCAUAUAUUUAGGGUCACCUUUUGGGUGUGGCAAAGUAAGGACCAGAAACCAGGCCCUCCAGUUCACUCUCAGUGGCUACUGAACUACUCCACUGUUGCUAAAUGAAGUAGGAACUUGAAUUUGAUCAGUGGAAACAGUCUACCAGGUGGUAAUCAGGGAUCAUUGUGCCUAGUAGGUUGCUUCAGUUCUGUCCUUCUUUGGCUUUCCACCUCAGUGUAAAAAAUAGCUAUGAACUAACGUCUUUAAGUCCAAAAACUGUCAAUGGUCCAUCCCCAAACAACACAUGAUGUGCUAAGUUUGAUGUGUACAGUGUAUUCAAUGAUGUCCUUAAAUUAUUUGGAAUUCUUAGUUCACCUGCACAAAUCUGGUCUAAUGAGCAUCUUAACCAACUUUAUGCACAGUAUAUAUUUGUAAAUGCUUCUGCAUAAAUGUUUAUACAUGACUGUUUCAAUAGACUUAAUGUUUUUUUUUGAAUUAUUAGAUCAUUUGCUAUUAUAAUCCUCACUUCUCCAUGUAACUAACUCAAAAAUACUUUGGCCAUAAAAUACUGGAACUGAGGAAAUCUCAUUCCUUCUUAUCGUCCCCUUUGCAUUCGGUUGGCAUUGAGUACUGAUUAAUAGAGCAGCCAGCUGAAUAACAGAGUUUCAAGGUGCGGUUCUGUCUCAAAGAGUCAGAAAAGCUGGGUCCUUCUUACGGACAAACAUCUAAAUGUUUGAAAGUAUCUGAAUACUUGACUGUUGUAAAUUUCCACUUAAAUGUCUGGCUUUGUCAGACUCAGAUCUCCUUGUGGCUCUGGUUGUCCUGUUUUCAAAAUGAUGAUUGUUGGCCGUAUCUCACACAGUUCUCAUUAAGUAAGUUCAUAAAUAAACAGGGUUUUUUAAAGAGAAGCCAAGCACAAAGUGUGACUUUGUUGACAUUUUAUGAGACUUUGUCAUGUGUCCCUAACCCCCAAUAAAAGCAAUGUUGCAUCAA